CAGCUGAUAGAGGGUUUGGUGGUAGAUGACAGCUUGUUUAUCCAGGGAGGCUGCAAAAUAUUCUGUUGCGCGAACACACAGCAAAGCUCAUUUGUCUUGUCUUUUGUCUCCACAGCUACAUAGUUCAGGAGGGACACUCUCCUCCUGCUUUACCAACUGCUCCCUCUUCUGAGCAUGCUCACAGACCUUCCAGCCACCCUGGGCCCUCCCUUUCACCAUGUGGCCUCCAUGAAGGGGAGUGUCCUGAAGCCCAGAGAGGAAGACGGAUUCACACAAGGCCACCCAGCAAGUCUGGUUACUUCAUCCCAAGCAGAACAUCUCCCCUCUUAGCCAUGAUCAGAAAGAGACUUGGCAUCAGCAUGGACCCUUCCAUAAAGAUUCUGGCUCUUUCUGCUGCUGAAAUCGGAAAGAUGAAUGAGUGGUACCGUGGAGCCAGAAAAAUAUGAGAUAAAGUGAUGGCACCGUCCUCUCAUUUUCUCUUUCUACUAGAAGAAGACCGCAUUCUAGGAGUGCCUGGGUGGCUUAGUCAGUUAAGUGUCUGCCUUUGGCUCAGGUCAUGAUCCCAGGGUCCUGGGAUCAAGCCCAGUGUUGGGCUCCCUACUCUGUGGGGAGUCUGCUCUCCCUCUCUGUCUGCCCCUCCCCCAGAUCCUGCUUGCUCGCUCUCAAAUAAAAUCUUAAAAAAUUAAAAAUAGCAUUCUCA
rnacentral:lncRNA from 1 species